GACGAACGCUGGCGGCGUGCUUAACACAUGCAAGUCGAACGGAAAGGCCCUGCUUUUGUGGGGUGCUCGAGUGGCGAACGGGUGAGUAACACGUGAGUAACCUGCCCUUGACUUUGGGAUAACUUCAGGAAACUGGGGCUAAUACCGGAUAGGAGCUCCUGCUGCAUGGUGGGGGUUGGAAAGUUUCGGCGGUUGGGGAUGGACUCGCGGCUUAUCAGCUUGUUGGUGGGGUAGUGGCUUACCAAGGCUUUGACGGGUAGCCGGCCUGAGAGGGUGACCGGCCACAUUGGGACUGAGAUACGGCCCAGACUCCUACGGGAGGCAGCAGUCGGGAAUAUUGCACAAUGGGCGGAAGCCUGAUGCAGCAACGCCGCGUGCGGGAUGACGGCCUUCGGGUUGUAAACCGCCUUCGCCUGUGACGAAGCGUGAGUGACGGUAAUGGGUAAAGAAGCACCGGCUAACUACGUG
rnacentral:rRNA from 1 species